rnacentral:snRNA from 1 species
AAAGGGAGAUAGCAGAGCCAUGUUCCCUUCAGGCCGUGUUCCCAAGGCGAGACUCACUCAAUGCACCUGCUUGUUGUGAUCCCAGCAGUUCACAAAUGUGGGAAACUUCCCUGCACAAUUUGUGGUAAUGGAGGUGUGCAUUUAUUCAGGCUUCUC